rnacentral:rRNA from 1 species
UAGGGAAUCUUCGGCAAUGGACGGAAGUCUGACCGAGCAACGCCGCGUGAGUGAAGAAGGUUUUCGGAUCGUAAAGCUCUGUUGUAAGAGAAGAACGAGUGUGAGAGUGGAAAGUUCACACUGUGACGGUAUCUUACCAGAAAGGGACGGCUAACUACGUGCCAGCAGCCGCGGUAAUACGUAGGUCCCGAGCGUUAUCCGGAUUUAUUGGGCGUAAAGCGAGCGCAGGCGGUUAGAUAAGUCUGAAGUUAAAGGCUGUGGCUUAACCAUAGUACGCUUUGGAAACUGUUUAACUUGAGUGCAAGAGGGGAGAGUGGAAUUCCAUGUGUAGCGGUGAAAUGCGUAGAUAUAUGGAGGAACACCGGUGGCGAAAGCGGCUCUCUGGCUUGUAACUGACGCUGAGGCUCGAAAGCGUGGGGAGCAAACAGGAUUAGAUACCCUGGUAGUCCACGCCGUAAACGAUGAGUGCUAGGUGUUGGGUCCUUUCCGGGACUCAGUGCCGCAGCUAACGCGUUAAGCACUCCGCCUGGGGAGUACGACCGCAAGGUU